UACGUAGGGUGCAAGCGUUAAUCGGAAUUACUGGGCGUAAAGCGUGCGCAGGCGGUUUUGUAAGUCUGUCGUGAAAUCCCCGGGCUCAACCUGGGAAUUGCGAUGGAGACUGCAAGGCUAGAAUCUGGCAGAGGGGGGUAGAAUUCCACGUGUAGCAGUGAAAUGCGUAGAUAUAUGGAGGAAUACCGAUGGCGAAGGCAGCCCCCUGGGUCAAGAUUGACGCUCAUGCACGAAAGCGUGGGGAGCAACAGG
rnacentral:rRNA from 1 species